CUAAUUAUCUUCAUAAAAGUUCUCUUUUCCUCUUUUGAAAGUUGAAAUCAAUAGUACAGUAAGUGCAUAUCAUUUUUACGAUAAAUAAAAUUUGGAUAAGUACAGUAAAUGUAAUAAUAAAACGUGUACAUUAGUAUUCUAUGCUUAAGUAUCCAUUCCGUUUUACUUAUUAGGAUUGUUGAGGGCAUUAUCUCUUGCUCCAGUAAGUUGUUUCCAUGUAUUUGAAAGAUACUCCAUAUUAUUUUUGUUAGUGGCCCUUAAACUACUAUUCUUCUGGAGCUAAGUGACAGAAAUAGAAUUUAAUAUGGUCAUGGACUCAUGGGUGUGUUCCUGUAGUUACUGGAAAAGACAAUGGUUUGCUAUCCAGGCAAUUAGAAACUAAGCUAAAGUUCAUGAUAUAGUUUCAACUAGCCCUUGUUGGGAAAUUAUGUAUUGUACUUUGGUGUUUAUUGCUGCAGUGGUGGGGAUUCAGGGACAAGCGAUAUGGCGAGCUUAGGAACCUUAAAACUGUUUCGUGUUGUCUUUUCUGUGACAUUUAUACGUAAUGGUGCAUAUUGUAAUGAACGAACAUCCCUUUAUCCCCAACUGGUAUUUAGAAACUGAUGCUUGAAGGUUUACUUUGAUGGAAGAGUUGCUACUAGUGUGCACUGUGCAGGAUGAUUUUGCUAGAAACAAAGCACAAGCCAGUAUGUCCUUUAUUCAUAGAGUAUACAUAAUGUAGAAAUUGUGUUAAUAGUGUCUUUUGUCUUAUGAUAGCUGUUAUGAGAUUUACGCUUCCAGUUUUCCUUAUUUUUGCUUGUCCUAUGAAUUGUGAUUGUCACCUUGGUAUCUAGCAUCUGUCUGUAAGCUGCUUUAAGCAUGGGUCUGUUUUUUCAUUAGUGAAUCAUAUGUUUCGAUUGUUUAUUGUUUCUUGCUGAGUGUAUACUGUAGGUCUGUAGCAGAAGCAGCAUUAUACUGCUUGCACUUGCAACACUAUAUUCUCUUUAACUUCUUGGUUUGUAUUUUUUUUCCUAUAAUCUUGUUGUUAAUUGCUGGUAGCCUGGUACCAUGAAAUUCACUUUUUCUCAAGUUCCUGCAUCUUUUCUCAACAACCUCUUUUAAUUCUGUGUAUUUUAUUCUCAAUUGUCAACUGUAAUUGAAGCUUAUGCUACAUACAACAGUGUUUAAUGGUCAGCAUCUUGAUACUUUCCUUUUUCUAUCUUGCCCGUUUUAAGCUGGCUAUAUUCUUUUGAAACCAACUGACAUAAACAAUAGGGUCCACUUAAAUAUGCAAUGGUUCAUGAGAUUUAUAAAUGCUGAUAUAUUGAGAAGAUAACAAAGCCUGCCUAUUUGUAUCUGAUGCAUCAUGAAGCCUCAUAACCAUACUACAUUGUACUAUUUACAUCAUUGGUUGAUUUGAUACUGAGGAGGUUCCUACCUGAGUGGGAUAUGGGUGAUCACAUAUAUCGAACAUCAGCACUGUUAUUGCAGAGAGGUUUGUUAGUUAGACCGUGGUCAGAACUCUAAUUGACUGGCCUAAAACUUCAUAAGAAAGGAAUACUAGCUGACAGGUCGUCUGUCAUAUUUUUGAGCUAAAACCUGCUGUCUAGUCAUUCAACUGCUGUCACACUUGUCUUGGUAAAUCCUAUACCUGAACUGUUCAUUGGUGAACACCUGGAAUAUGAUUUUUUAUGGAGAAACUCCAAUUAAACCCCAGUUGUGGUUUGCCCAUGAAUUAGAAUAAAGUAAUAAAUAUUCUGGAAAUUUGCUGGUUUCCGAUUGAGCAUUUGAACUUAGAGGUGAUUUAUAGUUGUGAGGAAAAAUGAGCUUAAAGAUACUUAUAGUCAAUUGCCUAUUAUCAUUAGCUUGUGUGAUAGUUCUGUUCAUAGUCCCUUCCACAUAGCCUAAGCAGCGAUUCAUCUCAUAUUUACUUGUCAAUAAUGUAUGUUUUAUGUAUGUUAUCGUGAAAUAUACUGAUUUCUGUAGACUAUGUUGCUUGCAGGUAAUCCUGAAUGGGUGGCUUCGUAUCUACAGACGACAACGAAGAGAACAAGAAUUGAUGCAAUCUGAAGUUGUUGAGGAAAUAAUAUACGGUCUGGAGUCUGGCAUUCCUUGGGAUGGCGACUGUCAUAUCAAAACUAGGAUUUAUGUUUUUGGAGCAGGGUUUUUCGACGAUGUUUCUUCCACUUAGUGUGGCAAUAAGUAUAUGUUGUAGUGUCACAGGAUUUGUUUACCAGGUAUUUCUCGAAUUGAACUUUCAGAUAAAAAUUGUAGCCUUUAUUCUUUUUGUAACCAAGUGAAUGUUGCAUUUGAGGUUUGGGUUUGCAAGUCAACAUCUUCUGAACAUGUGUUUUUUAACCCCUAUAAUUACUACCAUUUUGUAUCAAUGCCUGAUUACCUUCCUCAUCGAAUGUUAACAUCAAAGAGAACCUGCUCCAUUAAGUUUUGUGUAGUGCCACCACAUAACUUCAAUAAGUUGUCAUGGUACUUGUGUGGCAAGUAAAGCUUUGGCGUGAUUACAUUACAUUGAAUCUGGUGUAGCAAACCAAGUCUAUUUCUAGCUAGUUGGGAAGUUUCCAUAGGAAAUGGGGAGACUUGUUUAGAUCUUGUCUGAAAAUUACUUUAUUGAUGUCUUUGAAACAGACGAGGGGUUUGAAGCAUGGCAGGGCUUUGUUUUUAUUAACUAUUGGCCUUGCAAGAUAAAGUAUUAUGUUUCUUAAUCAGUGUGCUCAACAAAUCGGCAGAACUGAGUGUGGCUAUUACGUUAUGAAGUUCAUGUUAGAGAUAGUCACGUUACAACAUGACUAUGAAGGCCGGCUAGAUGAGGUCUAUACUCCGAGGACUGCGCCUUAUGCUAGUGAGGAAAUUGAUGUGGUUCGUGAGCAAUGGGCGAAGUUUUUUACCACCAAGUAUUUAUUAUUGACCUGAGGGCGCUUGAUCGUGUUGGUUUAGAUGUUAUAGAACAAUCUUUUAUGUUAAAAUGUAUGCGUACGUUGAAAUUGGAACGUAAAUAUAUUUAAAUGUAUCGGUA